UACGUAGGGGGGCUAGCGUUGUCCGGAAUUACUGGGCGUAAAGCGUGCGUAGACGGUUAUGUAAGUCGGAUGUGAAAGCCCCGGGCUCAACCUGGGAAUUGCAUUCGAGACUGCAUAGCUAGGAUGCGGAAGAGGGAAGUGGAAUUUCCGGUGUAGCGGUGAAAUGCGUAGAUAUCGGGAGGAACACCAGUGGCGAAGGCGGCUUCCUGGCCUGUUCUUGACGCUGAGGCGGCGAAAGCUAGGGGAGCAAACGGG
rnacentral:rRNA from 1 species